rnacentral:rRNA from 1 species
AGAACGAACGCUGGCGGCAUGCCUAACACAUGCAAGUCGAACGAGACCUUCGGGUCUAGUGGCGCACGGGUGCGUAACGCGUGGGAAUCUGCCCUUAGGUUCGGAAUAACUCAGAGAAAUUUGAGCUAAUACCGGAUGAUGACGUAAGUCCAAAGAUUUAUCGCCUAGGGAUGAGCCCGCGUAAGAUUAGGUAGUUGGUGGGGUAAAGGCCUACCAAGCCGACGAUCUUUAGCUGGUCUGAGAGGAUGAUCAGCCACACUGGGACUGAGACACGGCCCAGACUCCUACGGGAGGCAGCAGUGGGGAAUAUUGGACAAUGGGCGAAAGCCUGAUCCAGCAAUGCCGCGUGAGUGAUGAAGGCCUUAGGGUUGUAAAGCACUUUUAUCGGGAACGAAAUACCACGGGUUAAUAACCUGUGGGCUGACGGUACCCGAGGAAUAAGCACCGGCUAACUUCGUGCCAGCAGCCGC